rnacentral:rRNA from 1 species
UACAGAGGGUGCGAGCGUUAAUCGGAUUUACUGGGCGUAAAGCGUACGUAGGCGGCUUUUUAAGUCGGAUGUGAAAUCCCUGAGCUUAACUUAGGAAUUGCAUUCGAUACUGGGAAGCUAGAGUAUGGGAGAGGAUGGUAGAAUUCCAGGUGUAGCGGUGAAAUGCGUAGAGAUCUGGAGGAAUACCGGUGGCGAAGGCGACUUUCUGGGCUGUAACUGACGCUGAGGCGCGAAAGCGUGGGGAGCAAACAGG